rnacentral:rRNA from 1 species
GCAGUAGCCGCGGUAAUACGAAGGGGGCUAGCGUUGCUCGGAAUCACUGGGCGUAAAGGGUGCGUAGGCGGGUCUUUAAGUCAGAGGUGAAAGCCUGGAGCUCAACUCCAGAACUGCCUUUGAUACUGGAGAUCUCGAGUUCGGGAGAGGUGAGUGGAACUGCGAGUGUAGAGGUGAAAUUCGUAGAUAUUCGCAAGAACACCAGUGGCGAAGGCGGCUCACUGGCCCGAUACUGACGCUGAGGCACGAAAGCGUGGGGAGCAAACAGGAUUAGAUACCCGUGUAGUCCCUGUCUCUUAUAC